UGGAGGAGAAAGAAGCACCGCGACCCUCCUCCGCAGCCCCUCCUCGGCCCUCCCCCGGCCUCCCGCGCCGUCCGCAACCCUCACAGACACCUUGAGAUCAUGUCCUCUCCUGAGGACUCCAUGACAUCAUCUGUAGAACGAGGACCACAUCGCCGGCAAGGUUGUGAUCAGGAGUAGGGACAGCGCCUGCCACUGAUCAAUCAUCGGAAAUUGUCAUGGAGCCGUGAAACUGUUCCCGGGGGAAAUUGUGUCUGCUGCCAGUCCAGGAGAAUCUUCACCAGCCAGUGCCGCCUGCCGCAGUGAUGAGCUGUCCCCACGGACCUUUGCCCAAACUCCAGAUUCGAAACAGAAGACUGACUGGGGCCCUCUGAUGCCCUCCAAAUUGCUUCCCAGUGCCAUAUACAGAGUCUGAUGCUGGGGGGCGGGUCCCCCUGUGUCUAUGUAAGGCCCCAAGCCACUCUGUCACCUGCUCCAAGACUGUACAUGCAAAUACUCAAUAGGCAUUUGAAAAAAGGCUCAACUUCAGGAUUAGCGGGGAGAUGCAAGCCAGCCCCACCCCCACCCCCUGCUACGAUCACCUGCAAAGCCCAUGAACUUGUGGUCUCACUCUCUGUGGUCCCACCUGCCAUUUGGGCUAACUGGGGACAAGCGUGCUGAGCCAUUCCAGCUCCGGUGCUCCCUCUGGGGCCAGUGGGGACACACCCUCUCGCUCUCUUGCUCCUGCUUCCAUCCUGACCACAGCUGUGAUCUCAAGAGUGCCUGUGCCUGCUGGCGAACGUUCUGGGUCUGAGUCUGUUUCCUGGGGAACCUCACCUCUGGCAACCACAGCUCCACUAGAAUGGCUACAGUAAUUUGAAAAAAAUUACAUAAUUGUAUCUAUCUAAAUUCCUCAUUCGUUCUCCCCCGAUCGGUAAAGCCCUGUCCUGUUUUUCUCGUUUUGAAACUUUAUAAACCAGAACAAGACACUCACA